CAUCUGUGAUGAUCCUAUCCCGAACCUGAAUUUCUUGUUGAAAACCCUAAUCCGGAUCCGGCAUCUGAGAU
ensembl:snoRNA